rnacentral:rRNA from 1 species
AUUGAACGCUGGCGGCAGGCCUAACACAUGCAAGUCGAACGGUAACAGGAAGCAGCUUGCUGCUUCGCUGACGAGUGGCGGACGGGUGAGUAAUGUCUGGGAAGCUGCCUGAUGGAGGGGGAUAACUACUGGAAACGGUAGCUAAUACCGCAUAAUGUCGCAAGACCAAAGAGGGGGACCUUCGGGCCUCUUGCCAUCGGAUGUGCCCAGAUGGGAUUAGCUUGUUGGUGGGGUAACGGCUCACCAAGGCGCCGAUCCCUAGCUGGUCUGAGAGGAUGCCCAGCCACACUGGAAAUGAGGCACGGGCCAGACCCCUACGGGGGGCAGGAGUGGGGAAUAUUGCAAAAUGGGCGCAAGCCUGAUGAAGCCUUGCCGGGGGUAUAAAGAAGGCCUUCGGUUUUUAAAGUACUUUCAGCGGGGAGGAAGGGAGUAAAGUUAAAACCUUUUCUCAUUGACUUUACCCGCAGAAGAAGCACCGGCAAACCCCUG